AACGAACGCUGGCGGCAGGCCUCAAACAUGCAAGUCUAGGGGGUGUAGCAAUACAUCACCGGCGGACGGGUGCGUAACACGUGGGAAUAUACCUUUUGGUUCGGAACAACGCAGGGAAACUUGCGCUAAUACCGAAUGUGCCCUUACGGGGAAAGAUUUAUCGCCAAAGGAUUAGCCCGCGUAGGAUUAGCUAGUUGGUGAGGUAAUGGCUCACCAAGGCUCCGAUCCUUAGCUGUUCUGAGAGGAAGAUCAGCCACACUGGGACUGAGACACGGCCCAGACUCCUACGGGAGGCAGCAGUUGGGAAUCUUGGACAAUGGGGGAAACCCUGAUCCAGCCAUGCCGCGUGAGUGAUGAAGGCCUGGUUGUAAACUCUUCGUACGGGACGAUAAUGACGGUACCCGUACGAAGAAGCUCCGGCUAAC
rnacentral:rRNA from 1 species